UGCAGUCGAGCGAACUGAUUAGAAGCUUGCUUCUAUGACGUUAGCGGCGGACGGGUGAGUAACACGUGGGCAACCUGCCUGUAAGACUGGGAUAACUUCGGGAAACCGAAGCUAAUACCGGAUAGGAUCUUCUCCUUCAUGGGAGAUGAUUGAAAGAUGGUUUCGGCUAUCACUUACAGAUGGGCCCGCGGUGCAUUAGCUAGUUGGUGAGGUAACGGCUCACCAAGGCAACGAUGCAUAGCCGACCUGAGAGGGUGAUCGGCCACACUGGGACUGAGACACGGCCCAGACUCCUACGGGAGGCAGCAGUAGGGAAUCUUCCGCAAUGGACGAAAGUCUGACGGAGCAACGCCGCGUGAGUGAUGAAGGCUUUCGGGUCGUAAAACUCUGUUGUUAGGGAAGAACAAGUACGAGAGUAACUGCUUGUACCUUGACGGUACCUAACCAGAAAGCCACGGCUAACUACGUGCCAGCAGCCGCGGUAAUACGUAGGUGGCAAGCGUUAUCCGGAAUUAUUGGGCGUAAAGCGCGCGCAGGCGGUUUCUUAAGUCUGAUGUGAAAGCCCACGGCUCAACCGUGGAGGGUCAUUGGAAACUGGGGAACUUGAGUGCAGAAGAGAAAAGCGGAAUUCCACGUGUAGCGGUGAAAUGCGUAGAGAUGUGGAGGAACACCAGUGGCGAAGGCGGCUUUUUGGUCUGUAACUGACGCUGAGGCGCG
rnacentral:rRNA from 2 species